UAUUAGUUAAAUAUUUUGGGCUAAAUUAUCUUUCCUCAGCUUUGUACGUUAAGAAACCUUAGAUUACUUUUUUAAGUGUAAACCUAACUCCCCAUGUCUGUUGAUAAAAAAGAGACCCUAAGGAGGAUUAAACUGUUCUCAUCCUUUUGUCAGGGAACUGGGAAUUGAAGCUGGAGUGACUGCAGCUACUUAUACACCUGGUGCAUUGCAUCCUCACUUGGCCCAUUAUCACGCACCUCCUCGACUUCAUCACUUACAAUUAGGAGCUCUUCCUUUAAUGGUUCCUGAUAUGGCAGGCUAUCCUCACAUCCGUUACAUAUCAUCAGGAUUGGAUGGAACAUCAUUCAGAGGUCCUUUCAGGGGCAAUUUUGAGGAACUGAUUCAUUUGGAAGAAAGAUUAGGAAAUGUCAAUCGUGGAGCAUCCCAGGGGACAAUUGAAAGAUGUACAUAUCCACAUAAAUACAAAAAGGUAACAACUGAUUGGUUCUCACAGAGGAAACUGCACUGCAAACAAGAUGGGGAAGAAGGGACUGAGGAAGACACAGAGGAAAAAUGUACUAUCUGUUUGUCU
rnacentral:sRNA from 1 species